rnacentral:rRNA from 1 species
CCUUCGGGAGCUGACGAGUGGCGGACGGGGGAGUAAGGACUGGGAAACUGCCUGAUAGAGGGGGACAACAGCUGGAAACGGCUGGUAAUACCGCAUAAUACCUGAGGGUUAAAGACGCAAGUCGCUAUCAGAUGUGCCCAGUUGGGAUUAGCUAGUAGGUGAGGUAAAGGCUCACCUAGGCGAUGAUCUCUAGCUGGUCUGAGAGGAUGAUCAGCCAAAUUGGGAACUGAGACACGGCCCAGACUCCUACGGGAGGCAGCCAGUAGGGAAUAUUGCACAAUGGGGGGAACCCUGAUGCAGCCAUGCCGCGUGUGUGAAGAAGGCCUUCGGGUUGUAAAGCACUUUCACAGGGGAGGAAGAAUGACGUUACCCUGAGAAGAAGCACCGGCUAACUCCGUGCCAGCAGCCGCGGUAAUACGGAGGGUGGAAGCGUUAAUCGGAAUAACUGGGCGUAAAGGGGAUGGCAGGGGGAUAAGCAAGUAAGGUGUGAAAUACCCGGGCUCAACCUGGGAACUGGACUUUAAACUACGGAUUUAGAGUAUUGGAGGGGGAGAUGGAAUUCCAGGUGUAGCGGUGGAAUGGGUAGAUAUCUGGAAGAACACCGGAGGCCGAAGGCGUAUCUCCUGGCCAAAUACUGACGCUCAUAUGCGAAAGCGUGGGAACCAAACAGGUAUUAGUAUACCCUGGUAGUCCAUGCUGUAAACGAUGUCAAUUAGAAGUUCUGAACGAUAGUUUGGGUUUCAAAGCAAACGCCAUUAAAUUGACCGCCCUGGGGAGUACGGCCGCCAAGGUUAAAACUCAAAUGAAUUGACGGGGGCCCGCACAAGCGGUGGAGCAUGUGGGUUUAAUUCGACGCAACCGCGAAGAACCUUACCUGACCUUGACAUCCAUGGAAUCA